rnacentral:rRNA from 1 species
UACGUAGGGUGCAAGCGUUGUCCGGAAUUAUUGGGCGUAAAGAGCUCGUAGGCGGUCUGUCACGUCGGCUGUGAAAACCCGAGGCUCAACCUCGGGCCUGCAGUCGAUACGGGCAAACUAGAGUACUGCAGGGGAGACUGGAAUUCCUGGUGUAGCGGUGAAAUGCGCAGAGCUCGGGAGGAACACCCGUGGCGUAGGCGGCCCCCUGGGCCGCGCCUGACGCUGAGACGCGAAAGCGUGGGGAGCGAACAGG